rnacentral:misc_RNA from 1 species
UCAAACUUGGUCAUUUAGAGGAAGUAAAAGUCGUAACAAGGUUUCCGUAGGUGAACCUGCGGAAGGAUCAUUAUUGAAAGCAUUGUGAAGGAGGUUGAGCUGGCUUUUGCAGGUGCUUGCAUCAUAUUAUUUAUCUAUCUCUUGUGCACCUUUUGUAGUCUUUGGAGCGUUCGCAGUCGAUGCGGUAUUGGGUCUUGGGCUUUGCCCUGUUCCCUGUUAGCUUUCAAGGGCUAUGUUUUAUACACACUAGUUGAAGUUACAGAAUGUAUCUUAUUGACUUUUUGAGUCAGUAAAUCUAUACAACUUUCAGCAACGGAUCUCUUGGCUCUCCCAUCGAUGAAGAACGCAGC